UAUAUUUCUUGACAACUUUGAUUGGCAGAUUCCUGCACAAAGUUCGACUGAAAAAAGGAGGAGACUGACACAGUUAUUAUCAGAACAAGGGAAGUCAUCCAAGAGCAGAAGUUGAAUUGAAGAUCGUCAAGAACAUUAUUUAUAAUUGACCUCUCAUGACUAGCUGAUUAGAUAUAUGGAGAAAGGGAAUGUUCCAAUACAGCCCGCAGAAUAUUAAAUUUAGCAAAAUGAAAACCGUCUCCUUUGUGGAAGGACUAAUAGUCAGAUUUAACAAAGCUGGAUAGACAAAAACUUUUAACAGCAAAACGAGACCUAGAAGAAGUGUCAAGAUGUCUCACUGAUGUCUUGCUGAUAUUUCCGAGGCAAUACAUGAAAGGGAUAACAGGAAUGCCCAAAAAAUACAGCAGACGAAGACAUCACCAACAACCAACUCCUCACGGUUUAUAGAGGUAAACUUAGGACACAACAAUCUACACAAGGUCCAGAUUAUGUCAGAUUGGUACAGAUACCAUGGCUGUUGCCUGCUGGAACAGUAAAGUGAUGUUAUUCGGUAGCAGAUCCAGAGUUUUCAUUGCCAAGAAUAUAUAGACAUCCAAAAAGGAAUAUGGGAGCAAGAGUGCAAAUUGGAGGAUAUGAGGAAUAAAUUCAGUAGAUAAAGCUUGAAAUGUGUCAAUUUUGUGGUGGAUACAUAAAAGGGCAGACACGCAGUUAUUAGAGGUAUAG